rnacentral:rRNA from 1 species
UACGUAGGGUGCGAGCGUUGUCCGGAAUUAUUGGGCGUAAAGAGCUUGUAGGCGGUCUGUCGCGUCUGCUGUGAAAAUCCGGGGCUCAACCCCGGACUUGCAGUGGGGUACGGGCAGACUAGAGUGUGGUAGGGGAGACUGGAAUUCCUGGUGUAGCGGUGAAAUGCGCAGAUAUCAGGAGGAACACCGAUGGCGAAGGCAGGUCUCUGGGCC